rnacentral:misc_RNA from 1 species
AAUUAUUCUCCCUCACGGACGAAACCCUAGAAUCGCACCGCCUUCACCUCCAUCUCUCGAUCCAAUCGACGGGAUCUCCGGCGUCGCUGAGAUCAGCCGUCUCACGCGCGUCAGGAUGGUGUCCGCCGAUCGGGAAAUGGUGGUCUACUGCUUCGAUACCCUUCUCGCCCACUACAACAACGAGAAUCCUCCUCCCGCCGAUUUCGAGGAUGGAGAUCAUCCGUUGUUUGUUACUUGGAAGAAAGUAAUCAAUGGUGGGGAGCCUCGUCUACGCGGUUGCAUUGGAACUUUAGAGGCUCGAGGCCUGAUCACUGGUUUUCGGGAUUAUGCAUUAACCAGUGCUCUAAAGGAUCGUCGUUUCUCCCCAAUUCAGGCCAAGGAAUUGCAACAAUUGGAAUGUACCGUUUCUAUACUAACUGAUUAUGAGUCCGCUCAGAACUACCUUGAUUGGGAGGUGGGACAACAUGGACUGAUCAUUGAAUUCACUGAUCCUGACUACAAUACAAGGCGCAGUGCAACAUAUUUGCCAGAGGUGGCUGCCCAGGAAGGGUGGACUAAGCUGGAGGCCAUUGACUCGCUGAUGAGGAAGGCAGGCUACAAUGGUGCCAUCACAGAGUCCCUCCGCAAGCGGCUCCACAUUACCCGCUACCAGAGCAGCCUCUACACAAUGCACUACACUGAAUACGUCGCCUAUAUCAAGGCGACAAGAGAGGCAGCCCCUGUUAUUGUUGGGGCCAAGCCUUAACCAUUGAUUUACCAUCUUGCUACAUUGGUAUGUUGUGAAAAACUUACCUGUAGUUUACCAUCGUUGUUCUGUAAACUGUACUUGAUGGAGGGAUUACGGGGAAGUUUAUGGGGGAAACUGUGGCGACUGUAUCUAUUUAUACUGUGUUGUGG